UACGAAGGGGGCUAGCGUUGCUCGGAAUUACUGGGCGUAAAGGGCGCGUAGGCGGACAGUUUAGUCAGAGGUGAAAGCCCAGGGCUCAACCUUGGAAUUGCCUUUGAUACUGGCUGUCUUGAGUUCGGGAGAGGUGAGUGGAAUUCCCGGUGUAGUGGUGAAAUGCGUAGAUAUCGGGAGGAACACCAGUGGCGAAGGCGACUACCUGGCCUGUUCUUGACGCUGAGGCGCGAAAGCUAGGGGAGCAAACGGG
rnacentral:rRNA from 1 species